rnacentral:misc_RNA from 1 species
UACGGGAGUGGCAAGCGUUAUCCGGAAUUAUUGGGCGUAAAGCGUCCGCAGGCGGCCGUACAAGUCUGUCGUUAAAGCGUGGAGCUUAACUCCAUUUGAGCGAUGGAAACUGUAAGGCUUGAGUGUGGUAGGGGCAGAGGGAAUUCCCGGUGUAGCGGUGAAAUGCGUAGAUAUCGGGAAGAACACCAGUGGCGAAGGCGCUCUGCUGGGCCAUAACUGACGCUCAUGGACGAAAGCCAGGGGAGCGAAAGGG